rnacentral:rRNA from 1 species
AUUGAACGCUGGCGGCAGGCCUAACACAUGCAAGUCGAGCGCGAGGCGGACGGGUGUGUAUUGUCUGGGAAAAUGCCUGAUGGAGGGGGAUAUCAACUGGAAACGGUAGCUAAUACAGCAUACCAUCAGAUGUGCCCACAUGGGAUUAGCUAGUAGGGGGGGUAACGGCUCACCUCGGUGACGCUCCCUAGCUGGUCUGAGAGGAUGACCAGCCACACGGGAACUGAGACACGGUCCAGACUCCUACGGGAGGCAGCAGUGGGGAAUAUUGCACAAUGGGCGCAAGCCUGAUGCAGCCAUGCCGCGUGUGUGAAGAAGGCCUUCGGGUUGUAAAGCACUUUCAGCGGGGAGGCGUUACCCGCAGAAGAAGCACCGGCUAACUCCGUGCCAGCAGCCGCGGUAAUAC